UACGAAGGGGGCUAGCGUUGCUCGGAAUCACUGGGCGUAAAGGGUGCGUAGGCGGGUCUUUAAGUCAGAGGUGAAAUCCUGGAGCUCAACUCCAGAACUGCCUUUGAUACUGAGGAUCUUGAGUUCGGGAGAGGUGAGUGGAACUGCGAGUGUAGAGGUGAAAUUCGUAGAUAUUCGCAAGAACACCAGUGGCGAAGGCGGCUCACUGGCCCGAUACUGACGCUGAGGCACGAAAGCGUGGGGAGCAA
rnacentral:rRNA from 1 species